rnacentral:rRNA from 1 species
UACGUAGGGGGCAAGCGUUAUCCGGAUUUACUGGGUGUAAAGGGAGCGCAGGCGGCACGGCAAGUCAGAUGUGAAAACCCGGGGCCCAACCCCGGGCCUGCAUUUGAAACUGCCGGGCUAGAGUACAGGAGAGGCAGGCGGAAUUCCUAGUGUAGCGGUGAAAUGCGUAGAUAUUAGGAGGAACACCGGUGGCGAAGGCGGCCUGCUGGACUGUUAGGUAGCGGAAGCAAAUAGUUUGCGCAGAUGGCGC